UUUUCCGAGGAGCGUUGCAGCGCCCACCAGCCAACUGGCUGGCAGCAGGCGUGAGGCUCGGAACCUUCAAACAGCAACGACGCUCAUCCACU
rfam:Limnohabitans sp. 63ED37-2, complete genome.